AGAGUUUGAUCCUGGCUCAGGAUAAACGCUGGCGGCGUGCUUCAGGCAUGCAAGUCGAACGGGCGUCUACCUUCGGGUAGCCGCUAGUGGCGGACGGGUGAGUAACACGUAAGCAAUCUGCCCAGAAGUGGGGAAUAACUAGCCGAAAGGCUGGCUAAUACCGCAUGUGAUGGUUCUUCCCUGGAGGAAUCAUGAAAGGCUUCGGUCGCUUCUGGAGGAGCUUGCGGCAGAUUAGCUAGUUGGUGGGGUAACGGCCUACCAAGGCGACGAUCUGUAGCUGGUCUGAGAGGACGGUCAGCCACACGGGGACUGAGAUACGGCCCCGACUCCUACGGGAGGCAGCAGCUAGGAAUCUUGGGAAUGGGCGAAAGCCUGACCCAGCAACGCCGCGUGAGCGAUGAAGGCCUUCGGGUCGUAAAGCUCUUUUGUGGGGGACGAUGAUGACGGUACCCCACGAAUAAGCCACGGCUAACUACGUGCCAGCAGCCGCGGUAAUACGUAGGUGGCAAGCGUUGUCCGGAUUUACUGGGCGUAAAGGGCGUGCAGGCGGUCUGUUAAGUGCAGGGUGAAAGCUCCCGGCUCAACUGGGAGAGGUCCUUGCAUACUGGCGGACUCGAGGGAGGCAGAGGAAAGUGGAAUUCCCGGUGUAGUGGUGAUAUGCGUAGAUAUCGGGAGGAACACCUGUGGCGAAGGCGGCUUUCUGGGCCUUACCUGACGCUGAGACGCGAAAGCGUGGGGAGCGAACCGGAUUAGAUACCCCCGUAGUCCA
rnacentral:rRNA from 1 species